AUGGAGAAAUUGGGCGACCACGAUCUCGAGGCAAUCAAGGUAACGGUCGGAUCGGUCGAAGCGCUUGCGA
rnacentral:sRNA from 1 species